GAUGAACGCUGGCGGCGUGCCUAAUACAUGCAAGUCGAGCGAACGGACGAGAAGCUUGCUUUUCUGAUGUUAGCGGCGGACGGGUGAGUAACACGUGGAUAACCUACCUAUAAGACUGGGAUAACUUCGGGAAACAGGAGCUAAUACCGGAUAAUAUUUUGAACCGCAUGGUUCAAAAGUGAAAGACGGUCUUGCUGUCACUUAUAGAUGGAUCCGCGCUGCAUUAGCUAGUUGGUAAGGUAACUGCUUACCAAGGCAACGAUGCAUAGCCGACCUGAGAGGGUGAUCGGCCACACUGGAACUGAGAAACGGUCCAGACUCCUACGGGAGGCAGCAGUAGGGAAUCUUCCGCAAUGGGCGAAAGCCUGACGGAGCAACGCCGCGUGAGUGAUGAAGGUCUUCGGAUCGUAAAACUCUGUUAUUAGGGAAGAACAUAUGUGUAAGUAACUGUGCACAUCUUGACGGUACCUAAUCAGAAAGCCACGGCUAACUACGUG
rnacentral:rRNA from 1 species